rnacentral:rRNA from 1 species
AGGGUGACAGGUGGUGCAUGGUUGUCGUCAGCUCGUGUCGUGAGAUGUUGGGUUAAGUCCCGCAACGAGCGCAACCCUCGACCUUAGUUGCCAGCAUUCAGUUGGGCACUCUAAGGUGACUGCCGGCUAAAAGUCGGAGGAAGUGGGAUGACGUCAAAUCAUCAUGCCCCUUAUGACCUGGGCUACACACGUGCUACAAUGGGCGGUACAAAGGGUCGCGAACCCGCGAGGGGGAGCCAAUCCCAAAAAGCCGCUACUCAGUUCGGAUUGCAGGCUGCAACUCGCCUGCAUGAAGCCGGAAUCGCUAGUAAUCGCGGAUCAGCAUGCCGCGGUGAAUACGUUCCUGGGCCUU